UCUCUCAGCCCUUUUAAGCAUAUCAAGCAGAGCCUGUCUACCACAUAACCGACGAAUGCCCCUCCGUGUAUGCUCAAUUUGUCCUACAUUGGGGUUAACAACUGAUCCAUCAAGAACUUGCUCUAUUUGACCCACAAGUUCAGCACCAUGCUCUUGUCUAUGGUCAACACAAGUACCUCUCUGUCGGCUGUUCAUUUGUACCCACUCCCUUAUAAUUCUUACCCUCUCCUGCUC
rnacentral:misc_RNA from 1 species